rnacentral:rRNA from 1 species
AACGAACGCUGGCGGCGUGCCUAACACAUGCAAGUCGAGCGCGAAUGGAGCAAUCCUAGUAGAGCGGCACACGGGUGCGUAACACGUGGGUAAUCUGCCUCAAAGCCCGGGAUAACCUGCCGAAAGGCAAGCUAAUACCGGAUAAGCCUACGGACUCUUCGGGGUCUGAAGGAAAAGGUGGCCUCUGUAUACAAGCUAUCACUUUGAGAUGAGCCCGCCGGCCCACU